rnacentral:rRNA from 1 species
AGAGUUUGAUUAUGGCUCAGAACGAACGCUUGCUGCAUGCUUUAUACAUGCAAGUCGAACGGAGGCCCUAGCUUGCUAGGUGUCCUUAGUGGCGCACGGGUGAGUAACACGUGGGAACAUACCUUAUAGUACGGAAUAACUGCGGGAAACUGUAGCUAAUACCGUAUAUUCCAGUAAUGGGAAAGAUUUAUCGCUAUAAGAUUGGCCCGCGCAAGAUUAGCUUGUUGGUGAGGUAAAAGCUCACCAAGGCUUCGAUCUUUAGCUGGUUUGAGAGGACGAUCAGCCACACUGGGACUGAGACACGGCCCAGACUCCUACGGGAGGCAGCAGUAGGGAAUAUUGGACAAUGGGGGCAACCCUGAUCCAGCAAUGCAGCGUGAGUGACGAAGGCCUUAGGGUUGUAAAACUCUUUCAUCGGUGAGGAUAAUGACAGUAGCCGAAGAAGAAGGACCGGCUAAUUCCGUGCCAGCAGCCGCGGUAAUACGGAAGGUCCUAGCGUUGUUCGGAAUUACUGGGCGUAAAGCGCAUGUAGGCGGAACAGAAAGUUAGAAGUGAAAUCCCUGGGCUCAACCUAGGAAUUGCUUUUAAAACUUCUGUUCUGGAAUUCAGGAGAGGAAAAUGGAAUUUCCAGUGUAGAGGUGAAAUUCGUAGAUAUUGGAAGGAACACCAGUGGCGAAGGCGAUUUUCUGGACUGAUAUUGACGCUGAGAUGCGAAGGCAUGGGUAGCAAACGGGAUUAGAUACCCCGGUAGUCCAUGCAGUAAACGAUGGGUGCUAGUCGUCGGACUUUUGUUCGGUGUCGUAGCUAACGCGUUAAGCACCCCGCCUGGGGAGUACGGUCGCAAGAUUAAAACUCAAAUAAAUUGACGGGGACCCGCACAAGCAGUGGAGCAUGUGGUUUAAUUCGACGCAACGCGAAGAACCUUACCAGCGUUUGACAUGGAAAGUGCCGGUUACAGAAUGGUAACCUUCAGUUCGGCUGGCUUUCGCACAGGUGCUGCAUGGCUGUCGUCAGCUCGUGUCGUGAGAUGU